rnacentral:rRNA from 1 species
UACGUAGGGCGCAAGCGUUGUCCGGAAUUAUUGGGCGUAAAGAGCUCGUAGGCGGUUUGUCGCGUCUGCUGUGAAAACUCGAGGCUCAACCUCGGGCUGGCAGUGGGUACGGGCAGACUAGAGUGCGGUAGGGGUGACUGGAAUUCCUGGUGUAGCGGUGGAAUGCGCAGAUAUCAGGAGGAACACCGAUGGCGAAGGCAGGUCACUGGGCCGCAACUGACGCUGAGGCGCGAAAGCAUGGGGAGCGAACAGG